rnacentral:misc_RNA from 1 species
CAACCCUCAAGCUCUGCUUGGUGUUGGGCCUCGCCGCUCGCGGCGGGCCUCAAACUCAGUGGCGGUGCCGGCUGGCUCCAAGCGUAGUACUGUUCUCGCUUUGGGUCCUGCCGGUUCCCUCCAGAACUCUCUUCUAGG